CCUGUCAUGUUCCAGGGAAAAAUGACUUCUACACUCUUAAAUCAGGAAAACUGUACAAGUCUCAUUCAUUAGUGACAACGUCGAUUUUUCCUUAACGUUUCUAUUUCUGGAAUGCUCGUAUUCUCAUUAGGGCAUUUCUGCAUUCAGAUUAACUAAGAAAAUAAACUAUGUUGGAGGAACACUUAUGCUGGGGGGAAAAAUCUUGUACUACAUCAAACGAGUUUCCUACUUGAGAAACUCAACUAGCAUCCAGGUUACUCCUGAACUAUUUACUAAGACCAAGGUUAUUUUCAGGUUUUCUUCAUCUCUUGCAGAACUACCUGUUCUCAUUACUGUUUACUCAAACGCUUAACAAGGUAACUAUUAGCAUAUCUGGCAGGAAGACAUGCCUCAUUUAAUAUUAACUCACCAUGUGACAGCCCCCUUCCUCUCUUCUCAAACAUGUGAGGAUAAAAAGAAAAGUAGAGUUGUUUGCAAUCUGAUUUGCGCUGGGUUUUGGAACCAGCAAUUGGCCACAGGCACACACACCCCCAAUCAGAGGCGCGCACCCCGCUCGCUCCCGGAACUGUCAUGCGGGCUGACAGCUGGCACACCCUCCUGUCGCCCUCCACCCGCCUGCAGAAAGCCCACUCCCUACAGUCACCUUGACAUUGCUCACCUGCCUGGGCCUCAGCCCAUGACCAAGGAAACUUUUGCCCUCCCUCCCCAGGAGCUCACUUACAGGCCAUCUUCAAAGGUACUGCCUACCUGAACCUGCCUUGUCCCAAAGGACACACUUCAAUCUGGGGAGAGUUUAAAGUUGUAGACAUAUCCAUUUUCAUUUAAGGAAUAUGAAGAUCAGGGAGGCAAAAUAUAGAGAUAUAGAGAGGAAAAACUGAGAGAUGAUCAGAAAUUCAGACGCAUUCGGAAUGAGCACCCUUGACCAUACCAAGAACAAAGACUCUAUAAAAAUGUGAAGUCUUAUUAUUGUUCAUCCAUGUUCUACGUGGGAUCCACCCAAGACAUUGAAAACUGUACAGAACAGGGUGAAAUUGAAUCAGAUCAUUCUGUACUCCUAACAAGGUCCACCCCAUGAGAGACUUGCAGCAGAAUUAAUGACACUGUAUAUUUUCCUCUACUAACAACAACAAGAACAACAACAACAACAAUCUAGGAAAAUCAAAGGCAGCCCGACAUGGAAAAAAACACAAAAUGAAUAUUUGGAUUACAAAUAGUGUGAUGGGAAGAACACACUGCCAAAAGUCCACCUAGUAUGUUGAAAUUACUGUUUCUAGCACAUAUAAGAUUUGCUGCCAAUUUGUACUGACUUCUGAAAAAUACUUUAUCCAUUGUCUUCUUACAUCAGAAUCAACUCCCUAAAUUCUUCAGCACUGGCUUUGUAAACUGGUUUCUGGUCUUUGUUUCUGUCAACUUACCUAUAAAAGGAUACAAAAACUGAAGAACAGAGAGGAGCAGAUACCCUGGAAAGCCGAAAGUUUUAUUGACCAAAGACUGAGUCUCGGAAUGUUUUGAUUGUGGAGUUUAUAGAGUUCAGGCUGAAGUUUUAUAAAAAUAACUUGCAGCAGCAUGGAGGACUGAUGAGAAAGUAGACAGAUGCUGGAAGCAGGAAAACUGAACAGCAGGUCACUGGCCAAGGAGAAUCAAAGAGCUAGAUGCUGAGAAUAAUGCAGCCAUAACGUGAAAUCUUUUUGAGGCUCCGUGGUGGUCUUAAAAUAUAUCCACAAAUUUUCUGACAUCCUCUCUUCAAGAAGUGGAGCUUAAUUCCCUUUCCUUUGAGUGCAGACCACUCACUCUGGGAGAAAGCAACUGGCUAUGUCAUGAGGAAAUUGAAACCACCUAUGGAGAAAGGCCCACAUGAAUUCUGUAAGUCUGCUACGGUGACAUUUCUGGUUAGGAGUCAGAGUGGAUGGGACACUGAGCAAUAAGAAUGCAGAGACAUGAUGGCUGAAGCUGGAGCUUUUCCCUGAAGCAACCACCUGUUGGAAACUUCAUGUUGAAGAUGACUGAAUAAUAAGACAGAGGGGUCUGGGUCCCUGGUGGAUAUUCCAGAUCUGGGUGUUCGUGGAGAUAUGAGAAAGCAAUAAACUUCAAUUUUGCUUAAAUAGCUGUUACUUGGGGCAUUCUGUCAUUUAUGGACA
rnacentral:lncRNA from 10 species